UACAGAGGGGGCAAGCGUUGUUCGGAAUUACUGGGCGUAAAGGGCGCGUAGGCGGGCGGCCGCGUCCGGGGUGAAAUCCCACGGCUCAACCGUGGAACGGCCUCGGAUACGGGCGGCCUCGAGGGGGGUAGGGGCGUGCGGAACUCUGGGUGGAGCGGUGAAAUGCGUUGAUAUCCAGAGGAACUCCGGUGGCGAAGGCGGCACGCUGGACCCCUUCUGACGCUGAGGCGCGAAAGCCAGGGGAGCGAACGGG
rnacentral:rRNA from 1 species